UGGUCAUUAACAAGGCUAUUAGAACACAGUUUCUGAUUUGCUGUGGACAUGACCACAAAAAAUUUCCCAGGAGGUUUUUGUCUGUUUUUGCUACCUGGAUAGCAUACAGUCAAUUGGGGACAUCA
ensembl:snoRNA